AUUGAACGCUGGCGGCAUGCCUUACACAUGCAAGUCGAACGGCAGCACGGGAGCAAUCCUGGUGGCGAGUGGCGAACGGGUGAGUAAUGUAUCGGAACGUACCUUUCAGUGGGGGAUAACGUAGCGAAAGUUACGCUAAUACCGCAUAUUCUGUGAGCAGGAAAGCAGGGGAGUCGCAAGACCUUGCGCUGAUUGAGCGGCCGAUAUCAGAUUAGCUAGUUGGUGAGGUAAAGGCUCACCAAGGCGACGAUCUGUAGCGGGUCUGAGAGGAUGAUCCGCCACACUGGAACUGAGACACGGUCCAGACUCCUACGGGAGGCAGCAGUGGGGGAAUUUUGGACAAUGGGCGCAAGCCUGAUCCAGCCAUGCCGCGUGAGUGAAGAAGGCCU
rnacentral:rRNA from 1 species